GUCAUUGAUAUUAUUGUCUACAUGUGCUCCUCAUUAUGCCCCAUGUCCAGUGGUCUUGCCUGAUCCUCCUUACUCUGUUUUGACCACUCGUGGUACUUUUCCUUUACUCUGCCUGUUGUUCCAUUUAAUAACGCUCCUUUUGGUUUUCCCCAUGCCUGCCAUUGACUCCAUCCUUGCCUUUGAUGUGACAGUUUCAGACCAUAGAUUUCCUCAUGCCUCACUGACAUCACAGCCUUAGAUGAGGGAUCACCACCUCCAGCUGUCCAAAGACCAGCUUCUUGUCUUCCCUGGCAAGCCUGCCCUUCACCAUGAUAUCACUAUGUAGCUUAGAUCACCAUUGUCUCCGUCUUUACCAGAAAGGCGGGAGAAAUGAAAGAGGACCAGCUAUCCUUCAUGACUGCACACCAGCUAUCCUUCAUGACUGCAUACCAGCUAUCAUUACCUGAACGCAUGCAGGUACCUCCUGAUCUUGUAGCUUUAAUCUGUAUAAUAUCAUGAAGGUCAGGCCUUAUUUAUCAGAAUAUGUAGCUUAGCUUUUUGUCCAGGAUCUUGUCACAACUAGACUACUGAAACAACCGCAAGCUUUCUGAAACCUCUACAGAUGAUUCAAAAUGCAGUAGCAUGUCUGGUUUUCAAUAAAAAUGCACUCAUGCUACA